rnacentral:misc_RNA from 1 species
AUAAUUUUUAUAUUAAUUUUUAAUAUAAAAUAUAAUUGAUUAUUUAUUUUUAUAUUAUUUAUUUCACCUUUAUUAGUUAUUUCAAUAAAUUCUUGAUUUUCUAUUUGAAUUAAUAUAGAAUUAAAUUUAAUAAUAUUUAUUGUUUAUUUAAUAUUAAAUAAUAUUUAUAUUUAUGAUUUAUGUAUAAAAUAUUUUUUAGUAAAUUCAUUUAGGUCAAUAUUAUUUAUUUUUAUAAUAAAUUUUUUAUUAUUUUAUUAUAAUAAUAUAUUUUUUUUAAUGAUUAUUAAUAUUAGUAUAAUAUUAAAAUUAGGAAUAAUACCUUUUCAUUUUUGAUUUAUUGAUUUAAUAAUAAAUUUAAAUUGAAUUAGUAAUUUAGUUAUUUCAACUUGACAAAAAAUUAUUCCUUUUUUUAUUUUAAUAUUUAUUUAUUUACAAAAUUUAGUUUUAAUAUUUAUUUUAAUUAGAAGAAUUUUUAGUAUAAUUUUUUCUAUAAAUCAAAUUUAUUUAAAAAAGAUUUAUGCUUAUUCUUCUAUUAAUCAUAUAUGUUGAUUAUUAAUAUCAUUAAUUUUUAGAGAAUUAAUUUGAAUAAUAUAUUUUUUUAUUUAUAUAAUAAUUAAUUUAUUAUUAAUAUUUAUAUUAAAAAUUUUUAAUAUUAAUUAUUUAAUAGAUUUAUUUUAUAAAUUUAGUAAUAAAUAUAUAAAAAUUUUUUUUAUAUUUUUAAUGUUUUCUUUAGGGGGUUUACCUCCUUUUUUAGGAUUUAUUAUAAAAUGAUACUUAAUUUUUUAUUUAAUUAAUAAUUAUAAUUUUUUUAUUUUAUUAAUUUUAAUUUUUUUUUCUUUAAUUUUUUUAUUUUUUUAUUUACGUAUAUUAUAUAUGAAUAUAUUUAUUAAUUAUAUAAAUUUUAAUUUAAUAAAAUUUUAUACAAUUAAAUUAAAUUUUAAUACUAUUUUGGUUAUUAAUUUUAUAAUUAUAUUUUUAUCUAUUUUUGUUUUAUAUUUUUAUAUUUAA